AGAGUGAACGCUGGCGGCAGGCCUAACACAUGCAAGUCGAACGGCAGCACGAGAGAGCUUGCUCUCUUGGUGGCGAGUGGCGGACGGGUGAGGAAUACGUCGGAAUCUGCCUUUUUGUGGGGGAUAACGUAGGGAAACUUACGCUAAUACCGCAUACGACCUACGGGUGAAAGCGGAGGACCUUCGGGCUUCGCGCAGAAAGAUGAGCCGACGUCGGAUUAGCUAGUUGGAGGGGUAAUGGCCCACCAAGGCGACGAUCCGUAGCUGGUCUGAGAGGAUGAUCAGUCACACUGGAACUGAGACACGGUCCAGACUCCUACGGAGCAGCAGUGGGAAUAUUGGACAAUGGGCAAAGCCUGAUCCAGCCAUGCCGCGUGUGUGAAGAAGGUCUUGGAUUGUAAAGCACUUUAAGUUGGAGGAAGGGCAAUUAACCUAAUACGUUGGUGUCUUGACGUUACCGACAGAAAUAAGCACCGGCUAACUCUGUGCCAGCAA
rnacentral:rRNA from 1 species